CCUACGGGAGGCAGCAGUAGGGAAUCUUCCGCAAUGGACGAAAGUCUGACGGAGCAACGCCGCGUGAGCGAUGAAGGCCUUCGGGUCGUAAAGCUCUGUUGUUAGGGAAGAACAAGUGCUAGUUGAAUAAGCUGGCACCUUGACGGUACCUAACCAGAAAGCCACGGCUAACUACGUGCCAGCAGCCGCGGUAAUACGUAGGUGGCAAGCGUUGUCCGGAAUUAUUGGGCGUAAAGCGCGCGCAGGCGGUUUGAUAAGUUGGAUGUGAAAGCUCCCGGCUCAACUGGGAGAGGCCGUUCAAAACUAUCAGACUAGAGGACGGUAGAGGGAGGUAGAAUUCCCGGUGUAGUAGUGAAAUGCGUAGAUAUCGGGAGGAAUACCAGUGGCGAAGGCGGCCUCCUGGACCGUUCCUGACGCUCAGACGCGAAAGCUAGGGGAGCGAACGGGAUUAGAAACCCCGGUAGUCCUAGCUGUAAACGAUGCAAACUUGGUGUUGGUGGGGUAAAAUCCGCCGGUGCCGAAGCUAACGCGAUAAGUUUGCCGCCUGGGGACUACGGCCGCAAGGUUGAAACUCAAAGGAAUUGACGG
rnacentral:rRNA from 1 species